GACGAACGCUGGCGGCGUGCUUAACACAUGCAAGUCGAACGGAAAGGCCCUGCUUUUGUGGGGUGCUCGAGUGGCGAACGGGCGAGUAACACGUGAGUAACCUGCCCUUGACUUUGGGAUAACUUCAGGAAACUGGGGCUAAUACCGGAUAGGAGCUCCUGCUGCAUGGUGGGGGUUGGAAAGUUUCGGCGGUUGGGGAUGGACUCGCGGCUUAUCAGCUUGUUGGUGGGGUAGUGGCUUACCAAGGCUUUGACGGGUAGCCGGCCUGAGAGGGUGACCGGCCACAUUGGGACUGCGAUACGGCCCAGACUCCUACGGGAGGCAGCAGUGGGGAAUAUUGCACAAUGGGCGGAAGCCUGAUGCAGCAACGCCGCGUGCGGGAUGACGGCCUUCUGGUUGUAAACCGCUUUCGCCUGUGACGAAGCGUGAGUGACGGUAAUGGGUAAAGAAGCACCGGCUAACUACGUG
rnacentral:rRNA from 1 species